UAAUACAGAGGAGCCAAGCGUUGUCCGGAUUGACUGGGCGUAAAGCGCACGCAGGCGGACGCGCGCGUGGGGUGUGAAAUCUGGCCGCUUAACGGCCAGGCGCCAUCCCAUACGGCGCGUCUGGAGUGAUGCAGAGGUCGAUGGAAUUGCCGGUGUAGUGGUGAAAUGCGUAGAGAACGGCAGGAACACCCAGGGGGAAAC
rnacentral:rRNA from 1 species